GUGGGGAAUAUUGGACAAUGGGCGAAAGCCUGAUCCAGCCAUGCCGCGUGUGUGAAGAAGGUCUUCGGAUUGUAAAGCACUUUAAGUUGGGAGGAAGGGCAGUAAGUUAAUACCUUGCUGUUUUGACGUUACCGACAGAAUAAGCACCGGCUAACUUCGUGCCAGCAGCCGCGGUAAUACGAAGGGUGCAAGCGUUAAUCGGAAUUACUGGGCGUAAAGCGCGCGUAGGUGGUUUUGUAAGUUGGAGGUGAAAUCCCCGGGCUCAACCUGGGAACUGCCUCCAAAACUGCAUGACUAGAAUACGGUAGAGGGUAGUGGAAUUUCCUGUGUAGCGUUGAAAUGCGUAGAUAUAGGAAGGAACACCAGUGGCGAAGGCGACUACCUGGACUGAUACUGACACUGAGGUGCGAAAGCGUGGUGAGCAAACAGGAUUAGAUACCCCUGUAGUCC
rnacentral:rRNA from 1 species